rnacentral:rRNA from 1 species
UACGGGGGGGGCAAGCGUUGUUCGGAAUUACUGGGCGUAAAGGGCUCGUAGGCGGCCAACUAAGUCCGACGUGAAAUCCCCAGGCUUAACCUGGGAACUGCGUCGGAUACUGGAUGGCUUGAAUCCGGGAGAGGGAUGCGGAAUUCCAGGUGUAGCGGUGAAAUGCGUAGAUAUCUGGAGGAAUACCGGUGGCGAAGGCGGCAUCCUGGACCGAGAUUGACACUGAAAAGCGAAAGCCAGGGGAGCAAACGGG